rnacentral:rRNA from 1 species
UACGAAGGGGGCUAGCGUUGCUCGGAAUCACUGGGCGUAAAGGGUGCGUAGGCGGGUCUUUAAGUCAGGGGUGAAAUCCUGGAGCUCAACUCCAGAACUGCCUUUGAUACUGAAGAUCUUGAGUUCGGGAGAGGUGAGUGGAACUGCGAGUGUAGAGGUGAAACUCGUAGAUAUUCGCAAGAACACCAGUGGCGAAGGCGGCUCACUGGCCCGAUACUGACGCUGAGGUGCGAAAGCGUGGGGAGCAAACAGG